UAGGGAAUCUUCGGCAAUGGGGGCAACCCUGACCGAGCAACGCCGCGUGAGUGAAGAAGGUUUUCGGAUCGUAAAGCUCUGUUGUAAGAGAAGAACGAGUGUGAGAGUGGAAAGUUCACACUGUGACGGUAACUUACCAGAAAGGGACGGCUAACUACGUGCCAGCAGCCGCGGUAAUACGUAGGUCCCGAGCGUUAUCCGGAUUUAUUGGGCGUAAAGCGAGCGCAGGCGGUUAGAUAAGUCUGAAGUUAAANNNUGUGGCUUAACCAUAGUACGCUUUGGAAACUGUUUAACUUGAGUGCAGAAGGGGAGAGUGGAAUUCCAUGUGUAGCGGUGAAAUGCGUAGAUAUAUGGAGGAACACCGGUGGCGAAAGCGGCUCUCUGGUCUGUAACUGACGCUGAGGCUCGAAAGCGUGGGGAGCAAACAGGAUUAGAUACCCUGGUAGUCCACGCCGUAAACGAUGAGUGCUAGGUGUUGGGUCCUUUCCGGGACUCAGUGCCGCAGCUAACGCAUUAAGCACUCCGCCUGGGGAGUACGACCGCAAGGUUG
rnacentral:rRNA from 1 species